rnacentral:lncRNA from 1 species
CAGGUUUCUUCCCUGCCUUUGUGUGUGUGUGGUACAUACAUACGUGUAUUAAGUUUAGCGCAUUGCUUGCAACGCACUCCUGCUGCUUGGUUUCUUCUUUAGGGCCAGCAGCUGCUUCUUGUGGCACUGGAGAUCCCAGAAUGCAGCUGAGAGUCAGCUCGACCAAUAAAUCACCUCCGCAAUCCCGCCCCAUCCAUCCCUGCAUACCUAGGGACAGAGGACCAGCGCUACACCCAGYUGACAGAAAGGGAAUCGUGGAGAGGGACCAAGUGACUGGACGAAGGUCACGCAAGGCCGCUGUCAGAGAAAGGAAUCGCGCCUGGGCCUCUUGCAGCAGCGCCUGAGCGUGGCCUCCCGGGCUCUGAGUGCUCCUCAGCAAAAAGGAUUUCACAGUUUAAAAAGGGCCUAUGUUAGGGCCUGCCAUGCCUCAGAAGCCAGCAAGAACAGCAGCUCAGCAGAAGACACCUUUUAAUAUUUUUCCUUCCCGGGCAUCUUUGCAGCUUGCUCAGGAAAGACACACCAUCAUCAGAUAUGGACAGGUGGGCAGGUAAUUCCUUUCAUUUGCCUUUGGAUUCUCAGUGUUGUGUUGGUACAGUAUCAGUCCGGACCCUGCAAGGUUGAGGUUUCUUGCUAGGGUUCCCAAAAACAUCAUUUUGCAAUGUUUUUUUCUAUUUUCUGAGGAGGUCAGAGCGUGAUGGUCAGUGGCUCUGUUGUGAUCUAUAAGUGACUUAGAGGGAGGUGACAGAGGCCAUCUCCCUGCCCCGCAGGACAGUGGCAGAGUGGCAUGUCCAGAGCACAUACACCAGCAGAGCAACGACUCAGAAACUUUAAAGCCAUGACCCUGGAGAGUACUUCAGGCUGCCGAGAUUGAAAAGAUUUAAACAAGAUCCAUGUACCAAGGCCAACGCUUAAAGACACAUUUCGAUAAAUUCUUCUAGAAAAAAACAAACUGAACGUCAACCAGAAGCACUGAAGAUAAUCUUGCUUCAAACGUUGUUAGAAGAAAGUGUCUUUGGCCAAAAUUUCUCUCACUGCUUUUCCCCACUCCAAUAAACCUGGCUGCUGUCUCCGUCUGGGAGAUGAC